rnacentral:rRNA from 1 species
UGUCAUUAGCACCUAUUAAUGAUACAUCCUGCCCGGUGAUUAAUUAAACGGCCGCGGUACCCUGACCGUGCAAAGGUAGCAUAAUCAUUUGCCUAUUAAUUGUAGGCUAGUAUGAAAGGACACACGCGAGUAAACCUGUCUCCAUUAAGUAAAUAAAAUUUUAUCUCUGAGUGAAGAAGCUCAGAUAAAGCCGCAGGACAAGAAGACCCUAUAGAGCUUUACCUUACAUACUUCUAAAAAAAGUAUUCACGGUUCGGUUGGGGCAACCAAGGUAUAAUAAACAACCUUAAAUCCCUUCGAUCUCCUAAUCUUCUAAAUGAUCCUUACUCAAGAUCCUCGAAUCAAGCUACCUUAGGGAUAACAGGCUAAUCCUCUUUAAGAGUCCGUAUUAACAAGAGGGGUUGGCACCUCGAUGUUGGCUUAGGAUACCUUUAUGAUGUAGCAGUCAUAACAAGUUGGUUUGUUCAACCAUUAAAAUCCU